GACGAACGCUGGCGGCGUGCUUAACACAUGCAAGUCGAACGAAGUGGCGAACGGGGGAGUAACGCGUAAUCAACCUGCCCUUCAGAGGGGGACAACAGUUGGAAACGACUGCUAAUACCGCAUACGGAAGGAUGGGCUUGCGUCUGCUUCGCUAGUUGGCGGCGUAACGGCAAACCAAGGCGAUGAUCAGUAGCCGGUCUUAGAGGAUGAACGGCACACGUGGGACUGAGACACGGCCCAGACUCCUACGGGAGGCAGCAGUGGGGAAGCUGCCGCAAUGGACGAAAGUCUGACGUAGCAACGCCGCGUGAGUGAUGACGGCCUUCGGGUUGUAAAGCUCUGUUAAUCGGGACGCGGUACCGGAAUAGAAAGCCACGGCUAACUACGUGCCAGCAGCCGCGGUAAUUC
rnacentral:rRNA from 1 species